GCCCGGGUGGCUCAGUCGGUUGAGCGUCUGACUUCGGCUUGGGUCACGAUCUCACGGUUUGUGGGUUCGAGCCCCGCGUCGGGCU
rnacentral:tRNA from 1 species